GUCUCUUCGGAGACCUCCGAUGAAAUUAGAAUGAUACAAAGAAAAUUAGCAUGACCCCUGUGCAAGAAUGACACACACAAAAAAAAGAGUGACCCAUGUAGU